CCUACGGGCGGCAGCAGUGGGGAAUAUUGCACAAUGGGCGCAAGCCUGAUGCAGCCAUGCCGCGUGUGUGAAGAAGGCCUUCGGGUUGUAAAGCACUUUCAGCGGGGAGGAAGGCGGUGAGGUUAAUAACCUCAUCGAUUGACGUUACCCGCAGAAGAAGCCCCGGCUAACUCCGUGCCAGCAGCCGCGGUAAUACGGAGGGUGCAAGCGUUAAUCGGAAUUACUGGGCGUAAAGCGCACGCAGGCGGUCUGUCAAGUCGGAUGUGAAAUCCCCGGGCUCAACCUGGGAACUGCAUUCGAAACUGGCAGGCUAGAGUCUUGUAGAGGGGGGUAGAAUUCCAGGUGUAGCGGUGAAAUGCGUAGAGAUCUGGAGGAAUACCGGUGGCGAAGGCGGCCCCCUGGACAAAGACUGACGCUCAGGUGCGAAAGCGUGGGGAGCAAACAGGAUUAGAUACCCGAGUAGUC
rnacentral:rRNA from 1 species